ACCUGUUGAUCCUGCAGGAGGUUGCUGCUAUCUGAGUUCGACUAAGCCAUGCAAGUCAGAUCGUAAGAUCGGCGAAAUGCUCAGUAACACGUAGUUAAUCUGCCAUAUGGUGGAGGAUAACCUUGGAAACCUGAGGGUAAAGCUCCAUAAGGAAUACAAUUUGGAAUAAUGUAUUCCUGAAACGUAAGGCCAUAUGAUGAGACUGCGGUGGAUUAGGUUGUUGGUAGGGUAAUGGCCUACCAAGCCUGCGAUCCAUACGGGCCUUGGAAGAGGUAACCCGGAGAGGGACACUGAGAUACUGGUCCCAGCCCUACGGGGUGCAGCAGGCGCGAAACCUUUACAAUGCACGAAAGUGUGAUAGGGGAACUCAGAGUGCUCAUACAAUGUAUGGGCUUUUGCCAAGUUAAAACCGCUUGGCGAAUAAGUGGUGGGAAAGACUGGUGCCAGCCGCCGCGGUAACCCCAGCGCCACGAGUGGGAACCGGUAUUAUUGGGCCUAAAGCGUCCGUAGCAGGUUUAGUUAAUUAUUUGUGAAAUCGCAUGGCUCAACCAUGCGGAUUGCAGGUAACACUGCUAGACUAGAGACCGGGAGACGUCGAGAGUAUUCAAAGGGGAGCGGUAAAAUGCGAGAAUCCUUUGAAGACUACCUGUGGCGAAGGCGCUCGACAAUAACGGGUCUGACUGUGAGGGACGAAAGCUAGGGGAGCGAACCGGAUUAGAUACCCGAGUAGUCCUAGCCCUAAACGCUGUGAGUUAGGUGUUGCGCAAUCUUCGGGAUUGUGCAGUAUCGUAGAGAAGUCGUUAAACUCACCGCCUGGGAAGUACGGCCGCAAGACUGAAACUUAAAGGAAUUGGCGGGGGAGCACUACAAGGGGUGCGGCGUGCGGUUUAAUCGAAUUCAACGCCGAAAAUCUCACCAGAGGCGACGGCAGGAUGAAAGACAGUCUAACGGGCUUUCUUGACGAGCCGAGAGGUAGUGCAUGGCCAUCGUCAGCUCGUAUCGUGAGAUGUCCUGUUAAGUCAGGUAACGAGCAAGACCUGCAUCUAUAAUUGCCAGCGGCUGUUCUACAGGACCGGGCACAUUAUAGGGACUGCCUUGGAAACAAGGAGGAAGGUGCAGGCAACGGUAGGUCUGUAUGCUCCGAAUCUUCUGGGCUACACGCGCGCAACAAUGGUUAGGACAAUGGGAUGCAACUCCGAAAGGAGAAGCUAAUCCUCGAAACCUGAUCUAAGUCUAGAUUGAGGGUUGUAACUCACCCUCAUGACACCGGAAUCCCUAGUAAUUGGAAUUCAUCAUGUUCCAGUGAAUAUGUCCCUGCUCUUUGUACACACCGCCCGUCAAACCAACCGAGCAUAGCUUGAGUGAGCCUUAGUUCAUGUAAUUGAGUCAAACUUAAGUUAAGUGAGGUGGGUU
rnacentral:rRNA from 1 species